UACGUAGGGGGCAAGCGUUGUCCGGAUUUAUUGGGCGUAAAGAGCGUGUAGGCGGCUUUACAGGUCCGUUGUGAAAACUCGAGGCUCAACCUCGAGACGCCGGUGGAAACCGUAAGGCUAGAGUCCGGAAGAGGAGAGUGGAAUUCCUGGUGUAGCGGUGAAAUGCGCAGAUAUCAGGAGGAACACCCGUGGCGAAAGCGGCUCUCUGGGACGGUACUGACGCUGAGACGCGAAAGCGCGGGGAGCAAACAGG
rnacentral:rRNA from 1 species